UGGUGGAGUGAUUUGUCUGGUUAAUUCCGUUAACGAACGAGACCUUAGCCUGCUAACUAGUCGAACCAAUCUCGAUUGGUUGCGACUUCUUAGAGGGACUUUGUGUUCCAAGCACAAGGAAGUUUGAGGCAAUAACA
rnacentral:rRNA from 1 species